rnacentral:rRNA from 1 species
UACAGAGGGGGCAAGCGUUAUUCGGAAUUAUUGGGCGUAAAGGGCGCGUAGGCGGCUUUGCAAGUGACGGGUGAAAUCCCUCGGCUUAACCGGGGAACUGCGUCUGAUACUGGAUGGCUUGAGUUCGGGAGAGGGAUGCGGAAUUCCAGGUGUAGCGGUGAAAUGCGUAGAUAUCUGGAGGAACACCGGUGGCGAAGGCGGCAUCCUGGACCGAGAUUGACGCUGAGGCGCGAAAGCCAGGGGAGCAAACGGG